CGGCCGGCGCGUGGUGGAAAUACCUGGGAAACGGUUAGCUAAUACCGCAUAACGUCCGCAAGAACCAAAGAGGGGGACCUUCCGGGCCUCUUGCCAUCGGAGGUGCCCAGAAUGGGAUUAGCUAGUAGGUGGGGUAAAGGCUCACCUAGGCGACGAUCCCUAGCUGGUCUGAGAGGAUGACCAGCCACACUGGAACUGAGACACGGUCCAGACUCCUACGGGAGGCAGCAGUGGGGAAUAUUGCACAAUGGGCGCAAGCCUGAUGCAGCCAUGCCGCGUGUAUGAAGAAGGCCUUCGGGUUGUAAAGUACUUUCAGCGGGGAGGAAGGGAGUAAAGUUGAUGCCUUUGUUCUUUAACGUUACCCGAAAAUAACCUGCCCGGAAUCUCCUUUCCCGGUGAUUCACGGUGACACACGAAAAUCGAACUAGCUGGAAUAUAUCGAUGUUGAGGAUGUCCCUAUCUCCCGCUAACACAAAAAUGAUUCCCCGCCGCUCCCCCAGCUGAAUGAAUCUAAUACUGCGUUAGUGGCGACUACUGUAGCGCUGUACUACUCACCGUAUGUCUUCAACACACCAUCUGGAUUUCUUGAUUAACAGUGCCUUGAACACCAAUAUUUUUGGUGAACCAGGCUGGCAGGCUACUGGCUGCCGAGUAGGUCGUGAUUUACAUCGGCAUGAUAUAUGCGGGAUUAACGGGUACACUACUGUUCGAGGGAUGUUGGACUGUGUUCACGUCCGGGAUUAAAAACCUCGUCUGAAUGCUUGAUGAUCACGUCGUAUCUCGGUCAUACACGGCUUCGGGAGCUAACGCGGUAAGUA
rnacentral:rRNA from 1 species